UAAUUAUCCUUUUCACGUGUAAUAUCUUUGACUAUUAUAUUUUAAGGUAAUUGGAAAUGAUAAAAAUGUAAAUGGCAUGAUAUUUAAGUCCUGAUUACAAUAUAAAUAUUCUGACCAAACUGAUAAAAAAAAAUGGUAUAAAAUGUGUGUGCGAGCUAUUGAUUUUAUUCAGUUUCCGCCAUCAUGAAACAUCUUCUUAGAUUACUUUUUCUCACGUGCGUUUGUGCUGUUGUGACAUCCUUGAAUUGUCUAUCUUGCACAAGUAAAGAAGUAUGCAAAAAUGCUCCCACUACCGCCUGCACUUCAGAGAAACAUUACUGUAUGUCAUUACAAAUAGCAGGUACCUAUUUCAGAGGAUGCUACGAUAAUACUGAUGAUUGUGACAUAUUCAAAGACGAGGAAGGAGCCAAAUGCGUAAUGUGUGACACAGAUAAUUGUAAUGAUGUAAAAUUUGAAUGAAGUAUUUAUUCUGUUCAUAAAUAAAAAAAUUGCAUGAUUA